GAUGAACGCUGGCGGCGUGCCUAAUACAUGCAAGUAGAACGCUGAAGAGAGGAGCUUGCUCUUCUUGGACGAGUUGCGAACGGGUGAGUAACGCGUAGGUAACCUGCCUUGUAGCGGGGGAUAACUAUUGGAAACGAUAGCUAAUACCGCAUAACAAUAGGUGACACAUGUCAUUUAUUUGAAAGGGGCAAUUGCUCCACUACAAGAUGGACCUGCGUUGUAUUAGCUAGUAGGUGAGGUAACGGCUCACCUAGGCGACGAUACAUAGCCGACCUGAGAGGGUGAUCGGCCACACUGGGACUGAGACACGGCCCAGACUCCUACGGGAGGCAGCAGUAGGGAAUCUUCGGCAAUGGGGGCAACCCUGACCGAGCAACGCCGCGUGAGUGAAGAAGGUUUUCGGAUCGUAAAGCUCUGUUGUAAGUCAAGAACGAGUGUGAGAGUGGAAAGUUCACACUGUGACGGUAGCUUACCAGAAAGGGACGGCUAGCUACGUGCCAGCAGCCGCGGUAAUACGUAGGUCCCGAGCGUUGUCCGGAUUUAUUGGGCGUAAAGCGAGCGCAGGCGGUUUGAUAAGUCUGAAGUUAAAGGCUGUGGCUCAACCAUAGUUCGCUUUGGAAACUGUCAAACUUGAGUGCAGAAGGGGAGAGUGGAAUUCCAUGUGUAGCGGUGAAAUGCGUAGAUAUAUGGAGGAACACCGGUGGCGAAAGCGGCUCUCUGGUCUGUAACUGACGCUGAGGCUCGAAAGCGUGGGGAGCGAACAGG
rnacentral:rRNA from 1 species